rnacentral:tRNA from 2 species
GGUCCUAUAGCUCAGUUGGUCAGAGCACCUGACUCAUAAUCAGGGAGUCCUUGGUUCAAGCCCAAGUGGGACCACCA